rnacentral:rRNA from 1 species
CCUACGGGUGGCAGCAGUGAGGAAUAUUGGUCAAUGGGCGCGAGCCUGAACCAGCCAAGUAGCGUGAAGGAUGACUGCACUACGGGUUGUAAACUUCUUUUAUCAAGGAAUAAAGUGGGGCACGUGUGCCUUUUUGUAUGUACCUUAUGAAUAAGGAUCGGCUAACUCCGUGCCAGCAGCCGCGGUAAUACGGAGGUUCCGAGCGUUAUCCGGAUUUAUUGGGUUUAAAGGGAACGUAGAUGGGUUGUUAAGUCAGUUGUGAAAGUUUGCGGCUUAACCGUAAAAGUGCAAUUGAUACUGGCAGUCUUGAGUACAGUUGAGGUAGGCGGAAUUCGUGGUGUAGCGGUGAAAUGCUUAGAUAUAACGAAGAACUCCGAUUGCGAAGGCAGCUUACUAAACUGCCACUGACAUUGAUGCUCGAAAGUGUGGGUAGCAAACAGGAUUAGAUACCCCUGUAGUC